rnacentral:rRNA from 1 species
CCUACGGGAGGCUGCAGUGAGGAAUAUUGGUCAAUGGCCGGAAGGCUGACCCAGCCAUGCCGCGUGAAGGUCAGUGCCCUAUGGGCGUUAAACUUCUUUUGUGCGGGAGCAAUAAUGGUCACGUGUGGCCAGACGAGAGUACCGUACGAAUAAGCAUCGGCUAACUCAGUGCCAGCAGCCGCGGUAAUACGGGGGAUGCAAGCGUUAUCCGGCUUGAUUGGGUUUAAAGGGUGCGUAGGCUGUGAGGUAAGUCAGCGGUGAAAUGCCCCCGCUCAACGGGGUGAAGUGCCAUUGAUACUGCCUUGCUAGAAUGCGGAUGCCGUGGGAGGAAUGUGUGGUGGAGCGGUGAAAUGCAUAGAUAUCACACAGAACACCGAUUGCGAAGGCAUCUCACGAAUCCGCGAUUGACGCGGAUGCACGAAAGCGUGGGUAUCAAACAGGAUUAGAUACCCUUGUAGUC